GGUCGAUGGGCGAUAGGACCUGAACCAGCCAAGUGCGCGUGAAGGAAGACAGUCCUAAGGAUUGUAAACUCCUUUUAUACGGGAAUAACGGGCGAUACGAAGUAUUGCAUUGAAUGUACCGUAAGAAAUAAGCAUCGGCUAACUCCGUGCCAGCAGCCGCGGUAAUACGGAGGAUGCGAGCGUUAUCCGGAUUAUUGGGUUUAAAGGGUGCGUAGGUUGUUCGGUAAGUCAGCGGUGAACCCUGAGCGCUCAACGUUCAGCCUGCCGUUGAAACUGCCGGGCUUGAGUUCAGUGGCGGCAGGCGGAAUUCGUGGUGUAGCGGUGAAAUGCAUAGAUAUCACGAGGAACUCCGAUUGCGAAGGCAGCUUGCCAUACUGCGACUGACACUGAAGCACGAAGGCGUGGGUAUCAAACAGGAUUAGAUACCCCUGGUAGUCCACGCAGUAAACGAUGAUUACUAGAGUUUGCGAUAUACCGUCAAGCUUCCACAGCGAAAGCGUUAAGUAAUCCACCUGGGGAGUACGC
rnacentral:rRNA from 1 species